rnacentral:lncRNA from 1 species
UAUAGAAAAACUAGAGGCUCUAAAGAGCCUGUGUCGCUCACCUUGGUCUAUGUGAAUAUUAAAGGAAGCAGAUGGAUUCAUGGCAAAAUUGUGUUUUGGUGAUGGUGAUGUGUUUGUACAUCUUACUUUACUGAACAUUCUUGCUGCUUAAAAUUAUCUCUAUCUAUAAUGAACUUGGCCCAUUAGUUUCAGUGGAAAAUGUUAGUAAAAAUUUACAAAUUUUAUGAAAAUUGUUAAAAAUUGACUAUAAAGAACAAUAACUCCUUAGGGGGUCAAUUGACCAUUUCGGUCAUGUUGACUUAUUUGUAAAUCUUACUUUGCUGAACAUUAUUGUUGUUACAGUUUAUCUCUAUCAAUAAUAAUAUUCAAGAUAAUGACCAAAAACAGCAAAAUUUCCUUAAAACUAACAAUUCAGGGUCAGCAACCCAAC